rnacentral:lncRNA from 1 species
GCAAUCGAGAAAAAUAAAAUAGUCGACAGUGUUCCUAACACAGAAAGAUGAACACAUACAUUCAGAACAGAGUUCAAUCAUACCAAGUCAAAGAAAUAUACAAGUGGAUUGAGAAGUCUGGACUAUUUUCAGACAUGGACAGAAGCAGAAUGUAAGACUUUGACGCUAAAUGAGUGUGAGAGAGGAUCAAGUUUGUAGACAGCACCGGACCACACAAUCUUCCCCCAAAUCUCGCCUCCAUCGCCUCUCUCCACGGAAAUCUCAGCACACCAAUCAUGGGACUUAUCUCUCUUUACUUUCAAUAUUUUCUCACUUUCUAAUCCUAUCCUUCUAAUUUUAUUUAGAUGUCAAUCAUUGUGAAUAGGAUUAUGAGCCUGCUUAGUUGCAUUGGACUCCAAUUGGGUGAAUUGGCUAAGAAAUUUCGACAUGGUGCAUUCAUAUAAUUCGACUGCAACCUCUAUAAAGCUGGAAAACAUGAAUGGUACAUCAUUUGGGGCUCGUACAGUGUAGUUGUGAAUCUCACUAAGAUGCCAACGAGACCUUCCAAGAAAUCAGUUGCAUACCUGCUUGUUCGUGCUCCACUUCUUUGAAUCAGAUGGAUUGCAUGCAGAAUUUCAGACACUAUGCUCUCGUUGACCAGUGCUAAAUUAAGAGUCAGAUUCUGAUGAGGAAGUUUAGCAAGUAACUUGGCUGAAACAGCAUGCUUUUCUGUUAUUUGAUUUGCUUCUACUGGGCACUGGAUAAGAUUCUCUGGCUGACCUCUAGUUUUACAUAGUCUCUCUGAUAGCGUGUGACCGAUGUAGGGGGUAAGGGCUAUUAGAAGUUUUAAUGCUCCAACCCCUAAUUCGUCAUGAGGAUUGUUGAUGAGUUCUAUCAUGGCAAAGCUUGCGUCGGUUUCUUUGAUCACUGAGACGAUUGUUGCCAUCGCUCUAGGUGAUUUGGACAAGGAUAGGAGAAUCCUGAUCAAAUCAAUGUUAAGAUCAUCUGGGCUUGAGUUCUUGAGCAUGUGGAUGAUGUUGUAUACAAAGUAAUCCGAGCCUAAUGUGUGGCCAUGAGUAUUCACCUCAAAGGUCUCAUGUUCCAGCCCAGAUUCCAGUAUGUUUGCAAGUAUUGUAGCAGCUUCGUUCCUGGAGUUCAUCAGAUCACUAAACACUCGCUUCGUGAACAUUUCUUCGACCAUGAUCUUGAUGAUGCCGACCUCUACCAGUAUCUUGUUGUUGGGGUGAUACAAUGAAAUAUGAGCAAGAGCUUUGAAGGCGGCUCUUCUAGCGUCAAUAUUUUCACUUUGCACCAGCCCAAUGAGCGCAGGGCAAGCCUUCUCAGCUACAUAAGUUUUUUUCUCAUGUCCAAUAUCAAUUUCCACAAGGUAAUGCUUGUAUAGCAACUAUGCUUCAUAAACUUUGGAGAGAAAAGCAGUAAUGAAUUACCUUCUGCUAGAUGGCCCAGAAGAGAUGCAAAGGAAUCCAACUCCCUGUUAUACUUUGCGGUAACUAACAUUAGUAUCGCCCCUCUAGCAGUCCCAAUCUUCUCACAUGCAUGUUGGGAUUUUGAAAGCUCAAGCAGUAAGGCUUGUGCUGCAUGUCUUACAGGCUGGUGACUGCUUCCCAAAAGUUUGAUUACGCAUGACAUAGUUAUUGUCUUCACAAUCAUUUCCUGUAAGACAACUUUGAAAUAUAAAAGUCUAUUGAAACAAGAAGUAGAACUGCUGUGUCUAGCUAGGACAAAUAAUCACAGCAGCGCAUAUCGUCUAAGGUAGUGUGCUAUUGCAUAAUAGGUAUGUGAAAGAGAUCCAACCUUUCCGUCAUCAGUUUCUUCAUCUGCCAGUGUCCUUAAGAACUUUAGUAGUUCAAACCUCACAUCUUUACUUCUGUACGUCAGGUAUCUAUCAAGCAGCUGAAUGAUCCCAGCUUCACGGACUUGUACCUUGUUGUACUCUUUCCCUUCACAGGUCAUUUGCAGAUCUCUUAACGCGUCGAUGACCAUACUUUCUGAACCGCCUAAGGAUAAAGCUGCAUGAGCCACUUUGAUUCUUGCUGCCUCGUUACGUACUUUCCAUUCCUGAAUGAUGGUUUUCAAGACAACAUUUGCACUUAAUUCAGUGGUCAACUUUUGACCCGUAACUGGACAGUUGAUCUCAUCGGAGUUUCCAAAACUGUCAAACCACUCUAUUACUGCUUGUCUUUCGCAGGUUACUCCUGUUUCUGUGGUGACUGGAUCUUCCAUUAUCUCUUUGGUCAACGGGCAGAUGAAAGCUUGGUAUGGAGGUUCCAUGAACUGUGUCACCUGUGGUAACAUUGACAAUGAUUCACUAAGAUUUCCAUACUUUCUCUGGCUGCUAGCAUUCGAGCUCUGGCUUGGGAUAUCUGGUAUUUCGGUACUUUGUGAUUGUGAUUUACUGAGAUUCCCAUGCUUUCUCUGGCUGCUAACAUUUGUGCUCUGGCUUGGGAUAUCUGGUAUUUCGGUUACUAGUGAUUGUGAUUCACUAUGAUUUCCAUGCUUUCUCUGGCGGCUAACAUCUGUGCUCUUGCUUGGGAUAUCUGGUAUAUCAGUCAUUUGUGAUUGUGAUUCACUAUACAUCAUGUAACUUUCAUAGGAAAAUUCAGGAUCAGUGGGAUAGAGGUCUUCCUCCAUUUGCUCAGACACAAUAUCCGGUGUAUGCUUUGCAGAAAUCUUCUGCUGCCCAUUGUUUAUCAUCUCACUUUUACUACCAUCUCCAAUGGUAGCAUUUUGCAUCUCAUUUGAAAGAGACUGAAUAACAACUCCUAUAUAUUCUUCCUCGUCGAAUGUUGAUUCAGGUAUGGACUGCAAAGUUUCACCCAUCUGCUUUACAACGCCUUCAAAACCUGCCUCAAUGCUUCUCAGAUCAGUAGUUGAUUCGGCUUCGUUGCUUUCUUGAGAUUUCUCAACCAGUUUCUUGGCAACAUCUACACUAUCGGAUAGUGAUUCAAAAAUAUCAAUUGAACAUAUGACGUUGCUCUCUGCUGUCUGUAUCUCCAUUAACACAACUGAAACUCGAUAAAAGUAGCAAGCGCAUUCGAGGAACCUCUCUGUUUCUGCUUGUAAGGACUCCAAGGAUGUGAUUACCUCAGAAAUGGACCUCAACAACGAUCCAAUUAGUGUAUCACUUGUGCCUAUAUCUUCUUCUUGACUCUGAGAUCACAUAAAUAGGGAGAAAGGUGAGAUUUCGUUGGUUUGAGAAUUUGAUGAUUCGAAAGAUACGAUCAAGAAUUUUUUUGAAGGUGCAAAAGGAAAAAAACAAGAGAAGAUUGAAGAAAGUCUUACCGACAUCCCAUUUGUUCAAAGCUGGUCUUGUCUUACUCUGCUUACCAAGUCUCCAACUGUAACUUCAUCAAGCAGAAGACUUGAAGGACACACUUGGUCCUCUGUUUCAGAGAAGUUGGAACCCACUAAAGGUAAAUUUGUUGCUCUGACGAUGAUUGAUGAGACGACUUUUUAGGAGGAAGUGGGGACACAGUAAAAUUCCAUAGGACUAUGUAAAGAAGUUGAAGGAGUCAAAUCAGAAACUCUGAUUCAGAGUACUUACUUUGUUAAGCCAUAUAAAGCCCCAAACAUUUUCUUUACGAAAACAUGUGUUUGGAUUUUGUUGACUUUGUUUGUUUCUUCUUGCACUAUCUCUCUGCAGAUUGGUCAGACCACAAACCAAAAGGUGAAUGAAUGAUGAUGGUUAGAGAAAGUUGAUCUGAAACUUCUUGUGGUUUGAUUUUUGACAUUUUCCUGAUAUUUAAAUGUAGUUUGUUUAAAUAAUAGAAGGAUUCGGUAGGUACUGUCCAAU